GAUGAAGAACGUAGCGAAAUGCGAUAAGUAGUGUGAAUUGCAGAAUUCAGUGAAUCAUCGAAUCUUUGAACGCACCUUGCGCCCUUUGGUAUUCCGAUGGGCAUGCCUGUUCGAGUGUCUUGAAUUCAUCGCCGCCUCCGGUUUCGCGACCGGCCAGGCGCGCGGACUUGGGGGCCUGCCGCGGCGACGCGGCUCCCCUCGAAUGCAUCGGUGGGGUCUCCGAGCACCCACGGGCGUUGUAUUGUCCUCGUCCGACCGGGCCUCGCGUCCCCCGCCCCGACCUGCCGUUUGAGCGGCGGUCAAGCGACACUUUGAAAUCUGACCUCAAAUCAGGUAGGACUACCCGCUGAACUUAAGCAUAUCAAUAAGCGGAGGA
rnacentral:misc_RNA from 1 species